rnacentral:rRNA from 1 species
GCCCCGGCUAACUACGUGCCAGCAGCCGCGGUAAUACGUAGGGGGCAAGCGUUGUCCGGAAUUAUGGGGCGUAAAGGGGGCGUAAGCGGGUUUUUAAUUCCGGUGUGAAAGCCCAAGGCUCAACCCUGAAAGUGCAUUGAAAACUGGCUAGCUUGAGGACGGGAAAGGAAAGUGGAAUUCCAGGUGUAGAGGUGAAAUGCUUAAAAAUUUGGAGGAACACCAUUGGCGAAGGCGACUUUCUGGACUGUAACUGACCCUAAGGCGCGAAAGCGUGGGGAGCAAACAGGAUUAAAUACCCUGGUAGUCCACGCCGUAAACAAUGAGUGCUAGGUGUAGAGGGUAUCGACCCCUUCUGUGCCGCAGUUAACACAAUAACCACUCCGCCUGGGGAGUACGGCC